AAAUUGGCCCUUUUCAGGGCCAACAAAUGUAUUCUAAUGAGUGUAAU
rfam:Aedes aegypti strain Liverpool supercont1.141 genomic scaffold, whole genome shotgun sequence.